GCCGGGCGGCUUGUCGCUUGCGCACGUCUGAGGCGUAAGAGGAAAGUCCGGGCAAUGCAGGGUACCCCGCUUCUUAAUGGGAAGCAGGCCGUGAGGCUUGAUCAGUGCAGAAGAGAAUGACCGCCCCCGGUGCCAUCGGCGCCGGGAGCAAGGGUGAGAAGGUGGCGUAAGAGACCACCGGCCGGCUGGCGACAGUCCGGGCCGUGCACAUCGGGGAUUGAAAGUCCGCGUAAACCGGCGGCAGAAGGCGACCCGCCUGAGCGUCAGUGCGAUGCCCGCCGGAGGGUAGGACGAUAGAGCUUGUCGGUGACGGCAAGCCCAGAUAAAUGACAAGCGCACCGCCACGUGCGGCGUACAGAACCCGGCUUAUAGCCCGACUGC
rnacentral:RNase_P_RNA from 1 species